rnacentral:rRNA from 1 species
UACGAAGGGGGCUAGCGUUGCUCGGAAUCACUGGGCGUAAAGGGUGCGUAGGCGGGUCUUUAAGUCAGGGGUGAAAUCCUGGAGCUCAACUCCAGAACUGCCCUUGAUACUGAGGAUCUUGAGUUCGGGAGAGGUGAGUGGAACUGCGAGUGUAGAGGUGAAAUUCGUAGAUAUUCGCAAGAACACCAGUGGCGAAGGCGGCCCACUGGCCCGAUACUGACGCUGAGGCACGAAAGCGUGGGGAGCAAACAGG